ACUCCUACGGGAGGCAGCAGUGGGGAAUCUUAGACAAUGGGCGCAAGCCUGAUCUAGCCAUGCCGCGUGUGUGACGAAGGCCUUAGGGUCGUAAAGCACUUUCGCCAGGGAUGAUAAUGACAGUACCUGGUAAAGAAACCCCGCUAACUCCGUGCCAGCAGCCGCGGUAAUACGGAGGGGUUAGCGUUGUUCGGAAUUACUGGGCGUAAAGCGCGCGUAGGCGGAUUGGAAAGUUGGGGGUGAAAUCCC
rnacentral:rRNA from 1 species